GAAGAAUACCAGAAGAAAAAUGUUAAAUAUGAGCAAGAAUCAAGAGAAGCAUUGGUUGAUAUGCAAUUUGAUGAAAUGAAAAACGCACUUAUCAAACAUAUAUAUUAUCAACAGGCAAUGCUAAGCAAGUACACUCAAAUGGGCCAGAAGAUGGAAUUCAACAAAGAGCUUGCAAAUGCUCCCUGUUCCAGGGGAAACAAGAUAUUGGAAGAACUAGUGGAUGAUCAUUUUUUACCAAUUGCAAUCACAGAAUUUUUCUCUGGAAAAGAUUCUAUUCCUCCAGCUAAACUAAUUCAUUCUCUUUUACAGCAUAUUCUCCAGGGAAAUUCAGACCCUACCCUUUCUGUCCAUUUUUUUCAUAUAAUGUAUACUCUCCUCG
rnacentral:lncRNA from 1 species